GUUGUAUGGUUAAGUGACUAAGCGUACACGGUGGAUGCCUUGGCAGUCAGAGGCGAUGAAGGACGUAUUAACUUGCGAUAAGCCUAGUUUAGAUAGUAAAAAUCACUUGAGACUAGGAUUUCCGAAUGGGGAAACCCAGCUGCAUAAGCAGUUAUCAUAACGUGAAUACAUAGCGUUAUGAGGCGAACCGGGGGAACUGAAACAUCUAAGUACCCCGAGGAAGAGAAAUCAAUUGAGAUUCCGGCAGUAGCGGCGAGCGAACCCGGAUUAGCCCUUAAGCGGCAUUAGCGUUAGGUGAAGGUACUGGAAAGUACAGCGAUACAGGGUGAUAGCCCCGUAACCGACAACGCUUUUACCGUGAAAUCGAGUAGGACGGGACACGUGAUAUCCUGUUUGAACAUGGGGGGACCAUCCUCCAAGGCUAAAUACUCCUGACUGACCGAUAGUGAACCAGUACCGUGAGGGAAAGGCGAAAAGAACCCCUGUGAGGGGAGUGAAAUAGAACCUGAAACCGUGUACGUACAAGCAGUAGGAGCCCACUUGUUGGGUGACUGCGUACCUUUUGUAUAAUGGGUCAGCGACUUAAUUUUAGUAGCAAGGUUAACCGUUUAGGGGAGCCGUAGGGAAACCGAGUCUUAACUGGGCGUACAGUUGCUAGGAUUAGACCCGAAACCAGGUGAUCUAGCCAUGGGCAGGUUGAAGGUGAGGUAACACUUACUGGAGGACCGAACCGACUAAUGUUGAAAAAUUAGCGGAUGACUUGUGGCUAGGGGUGAAAGGCCAAUCAAACCUGGAGAUAGCUGGUUCUCCCCGAAAGCUAUUUAGGUAGCGCCUCGGACGAAUACUACUGGGGGUAGAGCACUGUUAAGGCUAGGGGGUCAUCCCGACUUACCAACCCUUUGCAAACUCCGAAUACCAGUAAGUACUAUCCGGGAGACACACGGCGGGUGCUAACGUCCGUCGUGAAGAGGGAAACAACCCAGACCGCCAGCUAAGGUCCCAAAGUUAUAGCUAAGUGGGAAACGAUGUGGAAAGGCUCAGACAGCCAGGAUGUUGGCUUAGAAGCAGCCAUCAUUUAAAGAAAGCGUAAUAGCUCACUGGUCGAGUCGGUCUGCGCGGAAGAUUUAACGGGGCUAAGCUAUACACCGAAGCUGCGGCAAU
rnacentral:rRNA from 1 species